GGACCAGGAGAGCUCAGAGGUUCCCAGUGGUCAGUCUGCCCAGCAGCAUCAAACACACCUGGACUCCUUAUUUAAGCUGCUGGAGGAUAACAUCGUCACGUUUGUGAAGAGUGAGUUGAAGAAGAUCCAGGAGGUUCUGACUCCAGAUGACCUAAAAGGCUUAAUGAGUCAAUGCAAGGAUGGCAAUUUAUUGCAGGGUGAACAUGAGGAGCCUAGUGAAAGCAGCAGAGAAGCAUUUGUGAAGAUCACAUUGGAUUUCCUGAAGAUAAUGAAGCAGAAGGAGUUUGCUGAGUGUCUGCUGAGAAGAACCUCGCCUAGAAACUUCCAAUGGUGUCAACGUGAAUUUAAAUCUACACUGAAAAAGAAGUGCCAGUGUGUGUUUGAGGGCAUCGCUAAAGC